AUUGAACGCUGGCGGCAUGCCUUACACAUGCAAGUCGAACGGCAGCGGGGGAGAAGCUUGCUUUUCCUGCCGGCGAGUGGCGAACGGGUGAGUAAUACAUCGGAACGUGCCCUGUAGGGGGGGAUAACUAGUCGAAAGAUCAGCUAAUACCGCAUACGACCUGAGGGUGAAAGUGGGGGACCGCAAGGCCUCAUGCUAUAGGAGCGGCCGAUGUCUGAUUAGCUAGUUGGUGGGGUAAAGGCCUACCAAGGCGACGAUCAGUAGCUGGUCUGAGAGGACGAUCAGCCACACUGGGACUGAGACACGGCCCAGACUCCUACGGGAGGCAGCAGUGGGGAAUUUUGGACAAUGGGCGAAAGCCUGAUCCAGCAAUGCCGCGUGUGUGAAGAAGGCCUUCGGGUUGUAAAGCACUUUUGUCCGGAAAGAAAUGGCUCUGGUUAAUACCUGGGGUCGAUGACGGUACCGGAAGAAUAAGGACCGGCUAACUACGUGCCAGCCGCCGCUGUAA
rnacentral:rRNA from 1 species